GACGAACGCUGGCGGCGUGCUUAACACAUGCAAGUCGAGCGGUAAGGCCCUUUCGGGGGUACACGAGCGGCGAACGGGUGAGUAACACGUGGGUGACCUGCCCUUAGCUCUGGGAUAAGCCUGGGAAACUGGGUCUAAUACCGGAUAUGACCUCAUGACGCAUGUUGUGGGGUGGAAAGCCUUGUGCGGCUAGGGAUGGGCCCGCGGCCUAUCAGCUUGUUGGUGGGGUGAUGGCCACCAAGGCGACGACGGGUAGCCGGCCUGAGAGGGCGACCGGCCACACUGGGACUGAGACACGGCCCAGACUCCUACGGGAGGCAGCAGUGGGGAAUCUUGCGCAAUGGGCGAAAGCCUGACGCAGCGACGCCGCGUGAGGGAUGACGGCCUCGGUGUAA
rnacentral:rRNA from 1 species